GGCGGAUGUAGCCAAGUGGAUCAAGGCAGUGGAUUUGA
rnacentral:tRNA from 18 species